rnacentral:rRNA from 1 species
GAUGAACUCUGGCGGCGUGCCUAAUACAUGCAAGUCGAGCGAACAGACGAGGAGCUUACUCCUCUGACGUUAGCGGCGGACGGGUGAGUAACACGUGGAUAACCUACCUAUAAGACUGGGAUAACUUCGGGAAACCGGAGCUAAUACCGGAUAACAUGUUGAACCGCAUGGUUCAACAGUGAAAGACGGUCUUGCUGUCACUUAUAGAUGGAUCCGCGUCGCAUUAGCUAGUUGGUAAGGUAACGGCUUACCAAGGCAACGAUGCGUAGCCGACCUGAGAGGGUGAUCGGCCACACUGGAACUGAGACACGGUCCAGACUCCUACGGGAGGCAGCAGUAGGGAAUCUUCCGCAAUGGGCGAAAGCCUGACGGAGCAACGCCGCGUGAGUGAAGAAGGUCUUCGGAUCGUAAAACUCUGUUAUUAGGGAAGAACAAAUGUGUAAGUAACUAUGCACGUCUUGACGGUACCUAAUCAGAAAGCCACGGCUAACUACGUGCCAGCAGCCGCGGUAAUACGUAGGUGGCAAGCGUUAUCCGGAAAUAUUGGGCGUAAGCGCGCGUAGGCGGUUUUUUAGUCUGAUGUGAAAGCCCACGGCUCAACCGUGGAGGGUCAUUGGAAACUGGAAAACUUGAGUGCAGAAGAGGAAAGUGGAAUUCCAUGUGUAGCGGUGAAAUGCGCAGAGAUAUGGAGGAACACCAGUGGCGAAGGCGACUUUCUGGUCUGUAACUGACGCUGAUGUGCGAAAGCGUGGGGAUCAAACAGGAUUAGAUACCCUGGUAGUCCACGCCGUAAACGAUGAGUGCUAAGUGUUAGGGGGUUUCCGCCCCUUAGUGCUGCAGCUAACGCAUUAAGCACUCCGCCUGGGGAGUACGACCGCAAGGUUGAAACUCAAAGGAAUUGACGGGGACCCGCACAAGCGGUGGAGCAUGUGGUUUAAUUCGAAGCAACGCGAUGAACCUUACCAAAUCUUGACAUCCUCUGACCCCUCUAGAGAUAGAGUUUUCCCCUUCGGGGGACAGAGUGACAGGUGGUGCAUGGUUGUCGUCAGCUCGUGUCGUGAGAUGUUGGGUUAAGUCCCGCAACGAGCGCAACCCUUAAGCUUAGUUGCCAUCAUUAAGUUGGGCACUCUAAGUUGACUGCCGGUGACAAACCGGAGGAAGGUGGGGAUGACGUCAAAUCAUCAUGCCCCUUAUGAUUUGGGCUACACACGUGCUACAAUGGACAAUACAAAGGGUAGCGAAACCGCGAGGUCAAGCAAAUCCCAUAAAGUUGUCCUCAGUUCGGAUUGUAGUCUGCAACUCGACUACAUGAAGCUGGAAUCGCUAGUAAUCGUAGAUCAGCAUGCUACGGUGAAUACGUUCCCGGGUCU